rnacentral:rRNA from 1 species
UGGAGCAGUGGCGAACGGGUGAGUAACACGUGGGCAAUCUGCCCUGCACUCUGGGACAAGCCCUGGAAACGGGGUCUAAUACCGGAUAUGACUACUGACCGCAUGGUUGGUGGUGGAAAGCUCCGGCGGUGCAGGAUGAGCCCGCGGCCUAUCAGCUUGUUGGUGGGGUGAUGGCCUACCAAGGCGACGACGGGUAGCCGGCCUGAGAGGGCGACCGGCCACACUGGGACUGAGACACGGCCCAGACUCCUACGGGAGGCAGCAGUGGGGAAUAUUGCACAAUGGGCGCAAGCCUGAUGCAGCGACGCCGCGUGAGGGAUGACGGCCUUCGGGUUGUAAACCUCUUUCAGCAGGGAAGAAGCGCAAGUGACGGUACCUGCAGAAGAAGCACCGGCUAACUACGUGCCAGCAGCCGCGGUAAUACGUAGGGUGCGAGCGUUGUCCGGAAUUAUUGGGCGUAAAGAGCUCGUAGGCGGCUUGUCGCGUCGGAUGUGAAAGCCCGGGGCUUAACUCCGGGUCUGCAUUCGAUACGGGCAGGCUAGAGUUCGGUAGGGGAGAUCGGAAUUCCUGGUGUAGCGGUGAAAUGCGCAGAUAUCAGGAGGAACACCGGUGGCGAAGGCGGAUCUCUGGGCCGAUACUGACGCUGAGGAGCGAAAGCGUGGGGAGCGAACAGGAUUAGAUACCCUGGUAGUCCACGCCGUAAACGUUGGGAACUAGGUGUGGGCGACAUUCCACGUUGUCCGUGCCGCAGCUAACGCAUUAAGUUCCCCGCCUGGGGAGUACGGCCGCAAGGCUAAAACUCAAAGGAAUUGA